AACGCUAGCUACAGGCUUAACGCAUGCAAGUCGAGGGGCAGCAUGGUCUUAGCUUGCUAAGACUGAUGACGACCGGCGCACGGGUGAGUAACACGUAUCCCACCUGCCGUCUACUCUUGGACAGCCUUCUGAAAGGAAGAUUAAUACAAGAUGGCAUCAUGAGUCCGCAUGUUCACAUGAUUAAAGGUAUUCCGGUAGACGAUGGGGAUGCGUUCCAUUAGAUAGUAGGCGGGGUAACGGCCCACCUAGUCUUCGAUGGAUAGGGGUUCUGAGAGGAAGGUCCCCCACAUUGGAACUGAGACACGGUCCAAACUCCUACGGGAGGCAGCAGUGAGGAAUAUUGGUCAAUGGACGAGAGUCUGAACCAGCCAAGUAGCGUGAAGGAUGAAGGUCCUACGGAUUGUAAACUUCUUUUAUAAGGGAAUAAACCCUCCCACGUGUGGGAGCUUGUAUGUACCUUAUGAAUAAGCAUCGGCUAACUCCGUGCCAGCAGUCGCGGUAAUACGGAGGAUGCGAGCGUUAUCCGGAUUUAUUGGGUUUAAAGGGAGCGCAGACGGGUCGUUAAGUCAGCUGUGAAAGUUUGGGGCUCAACCUUAAAAUUGCAGUUGAUACUGGCGUCCUUGAGUGCGGUUGAGGUGUGCGGAAUUCGUGGUGUAGCGGUGAAAUGCUUAGAUAUCACGAAGAACUCCGAUUG
rnacentral:rRNA from 1 species